rnacentral:rRNA from 1 species
GAUGAACGCUGGCGGCGUGCCUAAUACAUGCAAGUCGAGCGAACAGACGAGGAGCUUGCUCCUCUGACGUUAGCGGCGGACGGGUGAGUAACACGUGGAUAACCUACCUAUAAGACUGGGAUAACUUCGGGAAACCGGAGCUAAUACCGGAUAAUAUAUUGAACCGCAUGGUUCAAUAGUGAAAGACGGUUUUGCUGUCACUUAUAGAUGGAUCCGCGCCGCAUUAGCUAGUUGGUAAGGUAACGGCUUACCAAGGCAACGAUGCGUAGCCGACCUGAGAGGGUGAUCGGCCACACUGGAACUGAGACACGGUCCAGACUCCUACGGGAGGCAGCAGUAGGGAAUCUUCCGCAAAGGGCGAAAGCCUGACAGAGCAACGCCGCGUGAGUGAUGAAGGUCUUCGGAUCGUAAAACUCUGUUAUUAGGGAAGAACAAAUGUGUAAGUAACUAUGCACGUCUUGACGGUACCUAAUCAGAAAGCCACGGCUAACUACGUG